rnacentral:tRNA from 1 species
GGAGAGGUCGCAUAGUUGGUUUAUUGCGCUGGUCUCGAAAACCGGUAUACCCGAAAGGGUAUCGAGAGUUCGAAUCUCUCCCUCUCCG